rnacentral:rRNA from 1 species
AUUGAACGCUGGCGGCAGGCCUAACACAUGCAAGUCGAACGGUAACAGGAAGCAGCUUGCUGCUUUGCUGACGAGUGGCGGACGGGUGAGUAAUGUCUGGGAAACUUCCCGAUGGAGGGGGAUAACUACUGGAAACGGUAGCUAAUACCGCAUAACGUCGCAAGACCAAAGAGGGGGACCUUAGGGCCUCUUGCCAUCGGAUGUGCCCAGAUGGGAUUAGCUAGUAGGUGGGGUAACGGCUCACCUAGGCGACGAUCCCUAGCUGGUCUGAGAGGAUGACCAGCCACACUGGAACUGAGACACGGUCCAGACUCCUACGGGAGGCAGCAGUGGGGAAUAUUGCACAAAGGGCGCAAGCCUGAUGCAGCCAUGCCGCGUGUAUGAAGAAGGCCUUCGGGUUGUAAAGUACUUUCAGCGGGGAGGAAGGGAGUAAAGUUAAUACCUUUGCUCAUUGACGUUACCCGCAGAAGAAGCACCGGCUAACUCCGUG